AGGGGCAGGUGGCGGGGCUGCUUAUCAUGCAAGUCGACGCACAGCGAAAGGUGCUUGCACCUUUCAAGUGAGUGGCGAACGGGUGAGUAACACGUGGACAACCUGCCUCAAGGCUGGGGAUAACAUUUGGAAACAGAUGCUAAUACCGAAUAAAACUUAGUGUCGCAUGACAAAAAGUUAAAAGGCGCUUCGGCGUCACCUAGAGAUGGAUCCGCGGUGCAUUAGUUAGUUGGUGGGGUAAAGGCCUACCAAGACAAUGAUGCAUAGCCGAGUUGAGAGACUGAUCGGCCACAUUGGGACUGAGACACGGCCCAAACUCCUACGGGAGGCUGCAGUAGGGAAUCUUCCACAAUGGGCGAAAGCCUGAUGGAGCAACGCCGCGUGUGUGAUGAAGGCUUUCGGGUCGUAAAGCACUGUUGUAUGGGAAGAACAGCUAGAAUAGGAAAUGAUUUUAGUUUGACGGUACCAUACCAGAAAGGGACGGCUAAAUACGUGCCAGCAGCCGCGGUAAUACGUAUGUCCCGAGCGUUAUCCGGAUUUAUUGGGCGUAAAGCGAGCGCAGACGGUUUAUUAAGUCUGAUGUGAAAGCCCGGAGCUCAACUCCGGAAUGGCAUUGGAAACUGGUUAACUUGAGUGCAGUAGAGGUAAGUGGAACUCCAUGUGUAGCGGUGGAAUGCGUAGAUAUAUGGAAGAACACCAGUGGCGAAGGCGGCUUACUGGACUGCAACUGACGUUGAGGCUCGAAAGUGUGGGUAGCAAACAGGAUUAGAUACCCUGGUAGUCCACACCGUAAACGAUGAACACUAGGUGUUAGGAGGUUUCCGCCUCUUAGUGCCGAAGCUAACGCAUUAAGUGUUCCGCCUGGGGAGUACGACCGCAAGGUUGAAACUCAAAGGAAUUGACGGGGACCCGCACAAGCGGUGGAGCAUGUGGUUUAAUUCGAAGCAACGCGAAAGAACCUUACCAGGUCUUGACAUCCUUUGAAGCUUUUAGAGAUAGAAGUGUUCUCUUCGGAGACAAAGUGACAGGUGGUGCAUGGUCGUCGUCAGCUCGUGUCGUGAGAUGUUGGGUUAAGUCCCGCAACGAGCGCAACCCUUAUUGUUAGUUGCCAGCAUUCAGAUGGGCACUCUAGCGAGACUGCCGGUGACAAACCG
rnacentral:rRNA from 1 species